GGAGAGGUGGCAGAGCGGUUGAAUGCGGCGCACUCGAAAUGCGCUUUGGCGAAAGCCAACGGGGGUUCGAAUCCCCCCCUCUCCG
rnacentral:tRNA from 1 species